GACAGAGGGGGCGAGCGUUGUUCGGAGUCACUGGGCGUAAAGCGCGCGCAGGCGGAAUGCUUAGUGUCGUGUGAAAGUCCCCGGCUCAACCGGGGGAGGGCAUGGCAAACUGGGUCGCUCGAGUUGCGGAGAGGCCCGUCGAAUUGCCAGUGUAGCGGUGAAAUGCGUAGAGAUCGGCAGGAAGACCAAGGGGGAAGCCAGGGGGCUGGCCCCAGGCUGACGAUGAGGCGCGACAGCGUGGGGAGCAAACCGG
rnacentral:rRNA from 1 species